rnacentral:rRNA from 1 species
GCCAUGCAUGUCUAAGUAUAAGCUUCUAUACGGUGAAACUGCGAAUGGCUCAUUAAAACAGUUAUCGUCUCCUUGACAGUCAUCCAGUUUUGGAUACCUAUGGUAAUUCUAGAGCUAAUACAUAUGUACAGACCCGACUUCUUGGAAGGGUUGUGCUUAUUAGAUACUGAACCAACCCGUGCUUGCACGGUUUUGAGUUGACUCAUAGUAACCAGCGAAUCGCAUGCUUCGGCGGCGAUGUGUCAUCCGAGUUUCUGACCUAUCAGCUUCCGACGGUAGGGUAUUGGCCUACCGUUGCUUUGACGGGUAACGGAGAAUUAGGGUUCGAUUCCGGAGAGGGAGCCUGCGAAACGGCUACCACAUCUAAGGAAGGCAGCAGGCGCGCAAAUUACCCAAUCCUGACACAGGGAGGUAGUGACAAGAAAUACCAAUACGAGGCAUUACGUCUAGUAAUUGGCAUGAGUGAGAUUUACAACGCUUCACGAGUAUCAAUUGGAGGGCAAGUCUGGUGCCAGCAGCCGCGGUAAUUCCAGCUCCAAUAGCGUAUAUUAAAGUUGUUGCGGUUAAAAAGCUCGUAGUUGGAUUUCUGUCGGUGAAUAUCAGUCCGCCCACAGCGGUAGGUACGUGAUAUUUCACCGGCAUCUUCCUGGGGAAUGUGUCUGCUCUUUAUUGAGUGGUACAUAAGCCAGGACUUUUACUUUGAAGAAAUGAGAGUGUUUCAAGCAGGCAUGCGCCGUGAAUACGUUAGCAUGGGAUAAUAGCAUCGGACCUCGUUCCAAAGCUGUUGGUUUCUUGGACCGAGGUAAAGGUGAAUAGGGAUUGUUGGGGGCAUUCGUAUUUGACUGUCAGAGGUGAAAUUCUUGGAUUUGUUGAAGACGGACUACUGCGAAAGCAUCUGCCAAAGAUGUUCUCAUUGAUCAAGAACGAAAGUUAGGUGAUCGAAGACGAUCAGAUACCGUCCUAGUCUUAACCAUAAACUAUGCCGACUGGAGAUCGGGGGUCGUUAAUUAUGUGACGCCUCUGCAUAU